AUUAAAUUAUCAUAAUCAAUGUUUUAAAUUUAGAAUUUAAAAAAGAAGUUCUGCCCUUCAUUUAAUA
rnacentral:tRNA from 1 species